CAAGCUAUUCUUAAAGUUAAGGAAUUCAUUUACAUUGAAUUAACAUUGUGCAAUUCAAUAUAGUUUGA
rnacentral:tRNA from 1 species